GUCCCUGUAGUGCCAUGGAUAGCGUUUUAGACUUCUAUUCCAAAAUCGUGGGCUCGAAUCCCACCUGGGAUA